UACGAGGGGGCGAGCGUUGUUCGGAAUUAUUGGGCGUAAAGGGUGCGUAGGCGGUUUGGUAAGUCUUGUGUGAAAUCUACAGGCUCAACUUGUAGUCUGCACGAGAAACUGCCGGGCUUGAGUAUGGGAGAGGUGAGUGGAAUUCCUGGUGUAGCGGUGAAAUGCGUAGAUAUCAGGAGGAACACCUGUGGCGAAAGCGGCUCACUGGACCAUAACUGACGCUGAUGCACGAAAGCUAGGGGAGCAAACAGG
rnacentral:rRNA from 1 species